AUGCUGAGAGCUGCCCUCCAUAUUACAGACUAUGUGGGAGACAUGCUGAGAGCUGGCUUCCAUAUUAUAGACUAUGUGGGAGACAUGCUGAGUGCUGCCCUCCAUAUUACAGACUAUGUGGGAGACAUGCUGAGAGCUGCCCUCCAUAUUGGAGACUAUGUCGGAGACAUGCUGAGAGCUGCCCUCCAUAUUACAGACUAUGAGGGAGAAAUGCUGAGAGCUGCCCUCCAUAUUACAGACUAUGUGGGAGACAUGCUGAGAACUGCCCUCCAUAUUACAGACUAUGUGGGAGACAUGCUGAGAGCUGCCCUCCAUAUUACAGACUAUGUGGGAGACAUGCUGAGAGCUGCCCAUCUCAUUACAGACUAUGUGGGAGACAUGAUGAGAACUGCCCUUCUCAUUACAGACUAUGUGGGAGACAUGCUGAGAGCUGCCCUCCAUAUUACAGACUAUGUGGGAGACAUGAUGAGAGCUGCCCUUCCCAUUACAGACUAUGUGGGAGACAUGCUGAGAGCUGCCCUCCAUAUUACAGACUAUGUGGGAGACAUGAUGAGAGCUGCCCUUCUCGUUACAGACUAUGUGGGAGACAUGCUGAGAGCUGCCCUCCAAUUUCCAGACUAUGUGGGAGACAUGCUGAGAGCUGCCCUCCAUAUUACAGACUAUGUGGGAGACAUGCUGAGAGCUGCCGUCCUCAUUACACAUUAUGUGAGAGACAUGCUGAGAGCUGCCCUCCAUAUUACAGACUAUGUAGGAGAUACGCUGAGAGCUGCCCUCCAUAUUACAGACUAUGUGGGAGACAUGCUGAGAGGUGCCCUCCUUAUUGGAGACUGUGGUAGAAAUCCAGAGAGCUGCCAUCCAUAUUGGAGACAAUGUGAGAACAUGCUAAGAGCUGCCCUCCACAUGAGAGACUAUGUGGGAGACAUGCUGAGAGCUGCACUCCACAUUACAGACUUUGGGGGAGACAUGCUGAGAGCUGCCCUCCAUAUUGCCGACUAUGGGGGAGACAUGCUGAGAGCUGCCCUCCAUAUUGCAGACUAUGUGGGAGACGUGCUGAGAGCUGCCCUCCAAUUUCCAGACUAUGUGGGAGACAUGGAGAGAGCUGCCCUCCAUUAUGGAGACUAUGUCGGAGAAAUGCUGAGAGCUGCCCUCCAUAUAACAGACUAUGUGGCAGACAUCCUGAGAGCUUCCCCCCAAUUUCCAGACUAUGUGGGAGACAUGGAGAGAGCUGCCCUCCAUAGUGGAGACUAUGUGGGAGACAUGAUGAGAGCUGCCCUUCUCAUUACAGACUACAGUGCCUUGCGAAAGUAUUCGGCCCCCUUGAACUUUGCGACCUUUUGCCACAUUUCAGGCUUCAAACAUAAAGAUAUAAAACUGUAUUUUUUUGUGAAGAAUCAACAACAAGUGGGACACAAUCAUGAAGUGGAACGACAUGUAUUGGAUAUUUCAAACUUUUUUAACAAAUCAAAAACUGAAAAAUUGGGCGUGCAAAAUUAUGCAGCCCCUUUACUUUCAGUGCAGCAAACUCUCUCCAGAAGUUCAGUGAGGAUCUCUGAAUGA
ensembl:lncRNA